AUUAAAUGAAAACCAUUCAUCUUUAAUAGAGAGCAGAGAGCCACACAUGGUGAUUUGUCCCAAAGGAUAACAUAAGAUUAGGACAUAAGGUCAGUACUCAGAUGCUAAAUUUGCUACAGAUAAUGGAUGGAUUUGUCUAACUGGGGGCAUCAUAUCGAUCUGAAAACAGCAUCUUUCUGGCCACAGUAAUGACGCCCAAAAAUAUACAAUACCUAUUCAAAAGCUGGCAACUAAAAAUUGUGGGCAGAAAACAGAACAUCUUUUUCCAUUGCACAUCACCAGAUGCUUAAGACAGACGAUCAACAGUGAAAACGUAUUCAGCUCCUGAAUUUUGUGGUAAUAUGGUCCCGUGUUAAACAGCAGUUAGAACAUGGGAGUCUACUGAUUUCAGCACUUCCUCACCCAUUUCUUUGCAUCCCACCAAUUUCUGCAAAAGGAAGUCCAUUAAAACUCAGCCAGAAGGACAAAUAACACAACAUUCACAGGGAGGGAAUCCCUAAAUAAUAUUUGCACGAAUAUUUUCUUGUCCCCCAGUUAAUAUUUUGCAGGAAACUUCAAUUGAUAAACAUCUAUACAUGGCUAUUUUUGUCAUACUAUAGUUGCUAUUUUUCUCAUUAGCUUUUAUAUAUGGCUAUUAGCGACUCUACAGCUGAACCAACAACUCGGUGAAUUUUUAAUUAUGAAA